GCGCCUGUGGCGGAAUUGGUAGACGCGCCAGACUUAGGAUCUGGUGACUUAUGUCGUGUAGGUUCGAGUCCUAUUAGGCGCACAA
rnacentral:tRNA from 1 species